ACUCAAAUGAAUAGACGGGGGCCCGCACAAGCAGUGGAGUAUGUGGUUUAAUUCGAAGCAACGCGAAGAACCUUACCAGGUCUUGACAUCCCGUGCAUAGCCUAGAGAUAGGUGAAGCCCUUCGGGGCACGGUGACAGGUGGUGCAUGGUUGUCGUCAGCUCGUGUCGUGAGAUGUUGGGUUAAGUCCCGCAACGAGCGCAACCCUUACUGAUAGUUACUACGCGAAGAGGACUCUAUCGGGACUGCCGUUGACAAAACGGAGGAAGGCGGGGAUGACGUCAAAUCAUCAUGCCCUUUAUGACCUGGGCUACACACGUACUACAAUGGCCGUUAACAAUAGGGACCGAUGGGGCGACCCGGAGGAAAUCCAUUAAAAACGGUCUCAGUUCGGAUUGCAGGCUGCAACCCGCCUGCAUGAAGUCGGAAUUGCUAGUAAUCGCGGAUCAGCAUGCCGCGGUGAAUACGUUCCCGGGCCUUGCACACACCGCCCGU
rnacentral:rRNA from 1 species